rnacentral:lncRNA from 1 species
AAUCACAGUUUGAAAAUAGGGGUGUAUAGUACAGUAAGACAUUUUGAGAAAGAGAGGGGACCCCAUUUACUUAAGUUUUAUUACCGUAUAUUGUUAAAAUUGUUCUAUUUUAUUAUUAGUUUUUGUUUAUCUAUGACUGUGAAUAAUUUAUAAAUUACACUUUAUCAUAGGUUUGUAUGUGUAUGAAAACAUAGUACGUAUAGGGUUUGGUACAAUCCGUGGCUUCAGGCAUCUACUGUGGGAUCUUGCAGUGUAUCCCCCAUGAAUAAGGGGAGACUACUAUAAAUACAAUUUCGAUCUCGUUAAUCAUAACAUAAAUUUGGAUCUGCUUCUGUGCAGUCAAUGUUGUUCCACAGUUGACUUUUUUUUUUAGUG